rnacentral:rRNA from 1 species
GAUGAACGCUGGCGGCGUGCCUAAUACAUGCAAGUCGAGCGAACGGACGAGAAGCUUGCUUCUCUGAUGUUAGCGGCGGACGGGUGAGUAACACGUGGAUAACCUACCUAUAAGACUGGGAUAACUUCGGGAAACCGGAGCUAAUACCGGAUAAUAUUUUGAACCGCAUGGUUCAAAAGUGAAAGACGGUCUUGCUGUCACUUAUAGAUGGAUCCGCGCUGCAUUAGCUAGUUGGUAAGGUAACGGCUUACCAAGGCAACGAUGCAUAGCCGACCUGAGAGGGUGGUCCGCCACACUGGAACUGAGACACGGUCCAGACUCCUACGGGAGGCAGCAGUAGGGAAUCUUCCGCAAUGGGCGAAAGCCUGACGGAGCAACGCCGCGUGAGUGAUGAAGGUCUUCGGAUCGUAAAACUCUGUUAUUAGGAAAGAACAUAUGUGUAAGUAACUGUGCACAUCUUGACGGUACCUAAUCAGAAAGCCACGGCUAACUACGUG